UACGUAGGGGGGCUAGCGUUGUCCGGAAUCAUUGGGCGUAAAGAGCGUGUAGGCGGCCUGCUAAGUCGGACGUGAAAAUCCCCUCGGCUCAACCGAGGAACUGCGUCCGAUACUGGUGGGCUUGAAUCCGGGAGAGGGAUGUGGAAUUCCAGGGUGUAGCGGUGAAAAUGCGCAGAUAUCAGGAGGAACACCAAUGGCGAAGGCAGCACUCUGGGGACGUGACUGACGCUGAGACGCGAAAAGC
rnacentral:rRNA from 1 species